CCCUGGCUCAGCCGAGAGUCGCCACACAUUUCCGGCUGGUGAACAAGCUCUGAUACCAAAUGUAACGACCCAGCCCACUAGCAACAAUAACUCGUUGGGCCCAACCACCGGCCCAGAAUACUUAAGCCCAGUUAUUAUUACUAGUGUUUAAGUCUUUUAUAUACCCAAUCACAUCCCCAUUCCUAUCCGAUGUGGGAUUAUUGGGGUGUGAUACCGAGUGAACGCUAGAUACUGAGAUUCAUUUGUUUCAAAGCUAUUGUUAAUGUUAUGGAAAAGU
rnacentral:lncRNA from 1 species